rnacentral:rRNA from 1 species
UACGGGGGGGGCAAGCGUUGUUCGGAAUUACUGGGCGUAAAGGGUUUGUAGGUGGCCCGCUAAGUCACACGUGAAAUCCCUCAGCUUAACCGGGGAACUGCGUCUGAUACUGGAUGGCUUGAGUUUGGGAGAGGGAUGCGGAAUUCCAGGUGUAGCGGUGAAAUGCGUAGAUAUCUGGAGGAAUACCGGUGGCGAAGGCGGCAUCCUGGACCGAGAUUGACACUGAUGAGCGAAAGCCAGGGGAGCAAACGGG